GUUGGGGAAGAAUGGAUGCAUUUGUCACGCAGCAAAAGGAGGCCCAAGAGGAGCGAGAGGCAUUAUCUUACAUGUUGGCAAAGCAACCGUAUUUGACUCCUCCCAUCGCUGUCCCCAUCCUGCUCCGCAGGAGUCUGGGAGAACAAGCUCUGCCCUCAGCCUGGACCCCACCUGAAGCGGACGAAAACCCAACCUGCACUCCCAGCUGGGUCACAGCUUGCAGCGCGGCGGCUCAGUCCAGCCCAGGAAGACCGGCCCAGCCCCAGAGCCAACCGCAACUGCAAGAGCCUUAAUAAAUAACUGCUUUUCUAAGCCACUGUGUUCUAGAGUAUUUGUUUAUAUGGCAUCAUUAUGGCACUAGCUAACUGAUGCACGGUCUAAGGAGACUGCUCACGGAGGACACAAGAGGCCCCACCCGAAAAAAAUGAUAACCGAAUUUUAGUAAGUGCUACUAUGCACCCAUUUUUGUAAGAGCUUUAGGUGAAUUAACUUAUUCAUUCCUUACAAGAACCUAUAAGACAAAUAGGAUUUUUGUCCCUAUUUUAAAGAUGAGGCAACAGAGACACAAGUUAAGUGACUUACCCACAGCCGGAAGGUGGUAAAGGCAGGACCAAACCCCAGUCCCCUGCAUCCAGGGCCCUUGCCUGUAACUGCCAUGCUAAACAGCCUUGCAAACCCUCCUGGCCCAAGGUGCCCUAAAAGUUAGCUGUGGCUUCCCAUACCCUGGGGUGAAAUCCGAACCAACUAGCACACUGGUAGAAUAUUCCAGGUCCUUCACAGCCUGAUCCCUGCUUAUCCCAUCCAGGCUCCUGCUCUCUCCCCCUCACUCUGCCCUCAUGGUCCGUCCCAAGCACGCUGAGCCCCUACACUUCACCAAACUCCCCAGCGACCUCGCACCUUGGACCCACCGCCUCCUGCCCCUGGAAUGCCCUCCCCCUCCUUUCUGACCACUCAAGGUCAUCCUCUAGGACAGUUCCUCCUGCAGAAACCACUUCCUGUCUCCAGCCAAGGGCACGUGGCUAAUCAUCCUGAGUGUUCUCCCAACUUCCAGGACCUUCUCCAAAAAGCACAGACCACUUUGUGCUAUUACCAUCUGCUUAGCCCUUUUCACACCGGGCCAUCAGCGCCUUAAGGGCAAGGCCUAGGUCCUACUCAUCUCUGUCACCCCAGUGUGGAACAAGGUGCCUAGUCUCAUCGUGGGAACUCAAUAAAAGCUUGCGAAAUUAAAAAGCAGGCAAAAGGAGCAGUGACAUGAGGGAGAAAUGGAUAUGGAGACAGGAGGUUUAAAUUUUCAUUUUUAAAUAGCAAGUCUUCAUUUCUAAUAAACAUUAAUUAAACUGCUCAACACCCCUGGGUCUCCAGCUAUAUGUUCUUCAAUUAAAAUAGUUCUUUCAUGACGGCUUCCUCUGCCAAACCUUUCCUCCCAGGCUUAUGUGUUCACCAGAGCGUCUUGGGACAAGUAACAAAAGGCACUAUAUUUGCUUGAAACAGAGGGGAAAUUGAAGGCUCACUCCCUCCUGUUCACUCCCGGCAACACAAAAGGACAUGUAGUCUGAUUUCAAAAGAGAUGGAGGAAAGUUUGUGGCAGAGGAAGGCACAUUCUCAAGGAGUGAAAGGAAAAGACUCCCAAGACGGGGCACAGAUAGGUGACAACUUGACGUGGGGAGAAAAGGCUUAUUUAAUCAGAACCAGCAAAUGGCUCCUAGGAGAGGCCGGCUCUCAGAAUCGCAACUUGCUGCUGACAGGUUACAUUAUUGCUUAGCCUCAGAGGCACCGAGCAAAGGUCCAGGGCUGGGCAACCAGACAGCACCUGUGGAGAGCUGACAAGUGCCACAAGAUGGAGGCGACAGCUGCCCUCAAAAUCACAGGCCACGUGCAUUAGCGUGGCCCUAAUCUUGGAGCCACGGGGAAUCUCUAUCAAUAGGAGUGAAAUGGUCUGCUCCUGGCGUCCGAGGCUGAAACCCUAUAUGCACAGAUACCUUUCCCCACUGCAGCUUCGCUGUCCCUGAAGAUUGGUGUUUCUGUUGCUGGUGUCUCUUGAGAAAGGCCAGAGACGCCGCCAGAAUAAUGGGUGUCCCUUGAUCCUGGCCACAUGCCCCUCGGACUGGAUGUCAGAGUGGCAGAUGACUGGAAUGCAAGAGCCAGAAUCUGAUCUUUGAGAUCAGGCCAUCUAGGAGUUUCCAAACAUUUUCUAGGGACCACUUGGUGGUUCAAACAACAGUUUACAGAAGUAUAAAUAUGAGAGGGGAAACUGAGGCUGCUCCCUAUGGGAAGCAGGGGCCAGGACCCUCAACUGUUGGUGCAGGGACAGCCUAUGAGAUGGCUCAGUGGAGGCUUGGGAAUUUGGGUUGGACAUCACAGGUUUAGGCCAAAUCUGCAUCUUGCGGUAUGGAAGCCAUGGUUCAGAGGGGUAAGGUGACCUCAUCCAAGGUCACGUAGGCUGAAGGCAGAAGGACCAAGAACCGGACUCAGGUCCUGACUGCCAGAACACUCUUCCCUCUACACAAUACCACCCCACCCUUUCUAGAAAGGGCCCUCUACACCCUAACCUCCCCCCUUCCCCAUUAGCAAGUCCCAGAGCACUCCAGAGCUUAAACUGAGGUAAAGAGUAACUUGAUGACAAUAUGUUUUACUGGUGCAUUUAUCACACACACUAGGGAAAGCUCUGCUGUUAACACCAAUCCAGCCCUCCUCUCCCCACCCAAACUGACCCCCAACGUGGGAAAAUCCUCAGAGGCUCUUCUGUAACCCAGAACUUCCUCAGGAUCCACUCCCCCAUCUCCUUUUCUGUUGCAUUCUCUCCGCACUGACUCCAAUGACUGCCUGCAGUGCUGUGAUUCUUCAGUCUGCUGGGUUUGUCCCUACACGGUAUUUGUGUCUGGUCUUAGAAUGCUGCUUGCUCCACUUUCUAGUUUCAUUUUAGAAGCCUGCAAGGAGAGAAGCCAACAUUUAAUCGUAGGGAUUGGAGGGGACUGUACAAAGCGCUUACGAGGCACAAAUAGAGUGGUUAUUUUCCUAUCUCCCUUCUGAUUGAAUUGGCUGCUGUAUCAUAUGCAGUAAACAGUGUGAACCAGAAAGCAGCUCUGCAUCCUUAUCUAUCUCAGCCCCUCACGAAAUCGAAAGAAAAAACGCAUUGUAAUAAAAAAGGAGAAAAGGAAACCAGAACUUCCUAUUUGUUUAAAAGUUAAUUAAACUUGAAAGGUUUGUGGGGACAAUUCAUUUUCUUUUGCAGCCUAAGACCAUAAGGUUUGCAUUCCAUUUUACCAGUGGAAUGAUAAAAAGUAAACUGAUGUUAUUUUAAUU
ensembl:lncRNA